rnacentral:tRNA from 1 species
GGCAGUGUGGCCUAGUGGAUAGAGUGCAGUCCCAGAGUCAGAAGGACCUGGGUUCUAAUCCCAGCUCUGCCA